CAUGAAGAGGAGGAGGACGGCGAUGGUGUGGAGUACAGUGUUGUUAACUUUAAGAGUGCGAGUGCUUCAGUAGAAUUAAGACGUCAAGAGGCUGUGGAGGAUUCAUCUGCACUGUACAGCACAAUCACCAACAUACCAAGAGUAUAAUCACAACAUGGAUCUGUGGUUCUGUUUAAGCAGAAUUCCACAGUGACAAUAAAAUACAUUAAAAACUGUCAAAAGUCAAAUACAUAAAACAACAAACAAUCAUAGUUUCUCUUACAACCAACAAGUUAUCACAAGAGUUUGUUCGGAAGCCCAAAGGCAGGAUGUUCUCUGCCCUCCAUCAUAUCCGAUGUUUUUAGAAAUGUAUUGGCAGUGUAAUUUAGUCAAAUUAACCUCAAAGGAAUCUACACAUCCAGCAGACAUGACAAGAUCUUUGUGUGGACAAUGUGCAAAAGGUUAGAGUUAAUAAGCUGUAUUAAAAUUACUGUUACAGCAUCCAGCCAAGUACUAGUAUCAGUUGCUAACAGUCUGUAAUUUAUUAAUUCCAAUAUAGAAUUUGCUUAACAUUUUUUCUAAGGAGCAAUAUUUUACUGUCGGUGCAAGCGAACCAAUUCCUUGUCAAGUACAUUUCUAUACAGUAUACCUUUCCAACUUUACCAAAGUCUUUCUCUGCUCUACAGUCUAUUCACUUUUUUUAUUAAUAUUUCAAAUAUUCCUAUGCUCAUUCUGACAUUUUUAAAUUUCUGGUGCUUACCAUCACAACAAAAUGAGUUAUUGUUUUGUUUGAGUCCUCAUCUCACAACUUAAUUAUUUUUUUAACUCUUGUUUUGUGUUUUAUAAACCUGUGACUUAUUUCACACUUUAACCCUCUAAAAUUUGUUAAACUAAAUAACAUGAGAUUUUAUUGAAUAAAAAAGGUAUUUAGUUUGUAAA